rnacentral:rRNA from 3 species
CAAAUCAGGUAGGACUACCCGCUGAACUUAAGCAUAU